UCUCAACUAUGGCAUAAGUGAAGAACUGUCAUCAAUUUGAGGUUAAUUUAUUUGUAAACAAACACGAAAAUUAAUAUAAAAAUAGUCUUUUACAAUUAAUUUUAUUACUAAAAAUAUUGUAAAUUAAAAUUGUAAUUUAUGAAUUCCUAAACUAAUUACAUAAAUUGAUUGAUCCCAGGACUUGAGAAAAUGUUAUAUUACUAAAUAUAAAUCAAAAUUAAACUAAAUUAAUGUAUAUUCGUGUAACAUUGAACUGAGAGUAAGCAAACAAAUUAACAUGGAACCAAAGGAAUAUAGGAGCAGCGUUCUAAUCUAAGCUACUUGUUUUCCCUUAGGAUUAAAACUGAAAGAUAUAAAGUUUUCUAUCGAGAGAAAAAAAAAGCAAUUAUUGCGCACAUGUGAAAUCAUUCACGCAAUAAUAUUAAUGAACUUCCUUCAAUGAUUUGAUUAUCCAUAUACACAUAGUGCUAAUGAGUUAGCGAUAAAGAAGAAAAAAGUAUGUAUUCAUUAUUAAUAAUAAAGAGAUGAACUGAUAAGAAAGGUGCGAGAAAUUAUAUAAAAUGAAUCCUCGUUAUUGCCAAAUGUUGCAAUAUUUUACAAGCGAAAAACGACAUCAAGAAUUCUGAAUUACACGCGCCUUUCGUCAACUGGUUUCGAUACAAAGAUCUGACGGUAAAAAAAAAAAAUAAUGACUAUAUAUCACGCGGUAUUGCAAAUAAUUGCCAUAGAUUAUACUGCGCGGGUGCCACAUUCACCUUUAUAGACAACGAGACCGAGAAAAUGGACCAGUCGCGAACUACAUAUAAAAGUGGGUGAGACGAGAUCCUCGGCUUUGCUUGCACACAAAAAGAGAAAGAUUCAAGCAGCCUCAAAAGUAUACCGCGAGGGAUGCUGAAAGAUGAAUGGGACAAGCAAACAUUCAAGAUGGAAAAUAGAACAUAAGAAAAUGUUAGAGAGAAAAAUAUAUUUUUCAACAAUAAAAAUUAAAUCCUAAGAAAAAAAAAAUGAUACAACAUUUUAAGAAUAAAAUAAUUAUUUUCAUAUAAA